rnacentral:rRNA from 1 species
AGUGAACGCUGGCGGUAGGCCUAACACAUGCAAGUCGAACGCAGUGGGGACGGGUGAGUAACAUGUGGGUAACCUCCCAUCAGAGGGGAUAACACUAGGAAACAGGUGCUAAACCGAUACUGAUGGAUGGACCCGCGGUGCAUUAGCUAGUUGGUGAGGUAACGGCUCACCAAGGCCACGAUGCAUAGCGGACCGGAGAGGGUGAUCGGCCACACUGGGACGGAGACACGGCCCAGACUCCUACGGGAGGCAGCAGUGGGGAAUCUUCGGCAAUGGACGAAAGUCGGACCGAGCAACGCCGCGUGAGUGAAGAAGGUUUUCGGAUCGUAAAACUCUGUUGUUAGAGAAGCGGUAUCUAACCAGAAAGCCACGGCUAACUACGUGCCAGCAGCCGCGGUAAUAC